rnacentral:misc_RNA from 1 species
ACACUUUUAUUUUUAAUUUAUUUAAAAUUUAGGGUAAUUUUAAAGAUUAUAAAUUUUUAUUCAUAUUUUCCUAAAAUUUUUUAUACAUGCUAUAAAAUGUUGUGUGUGUGCAGGCUUUCCACACUAGUUUCUAAUAAUCUUAACCUCAAAAGCUAAUAUCCCAAAUAUUUAGGAUCUUUCUAUCUUCUUCUUUUUUUCCCCCUUAAUCUUAAGCCUUCUGCUCUUCUCCUUACAACUCCAUCAAUUGGGUCAAAGGCUUCACCUAAUGAACCAUGUAAAUAUCAAUUUGUGGUUCAGUGAACAAGUUAGAUUUCAG